GCCAGUGUAGCUCAACGGUAGAGCGGCUGAUUUGUAAUCAGCAGGUUGUGGGUUCGAAUCCCACCGCUGGCUCCA
rnacentral:tRNA from 1 species